rnacentral:rRNA from 1 species
GCUUUUGAUAAUAAAAAGCAAAAAAAAAACAUCCCUGCUCUCGUCUGAUCUUGGAAGCCAGGCAGAGUUGUGCCUGUUUAGUACUUGGAUAGUAGACCGCCUGGGAAUACCAGGUGCUGUAAGCU